rnacentral:rRNA from 1 species
AGUGAACGCUGGCGGUAUGCCUAACACAUGCAAGUCGAACGGCAGCACAGUAAGAGCUUGCUCUUACGGGUGGCGAGUGGCGGACGGGUGAGGAAUACAUCGGAAUCUACUUUUUCGUGGGGGAUAACGUAGGGAAACUACGCUAAUACCGCAUACGACCUACGGGUGAAAGCAGGGGAUCUUCGGACCUUGCGCGAUUGAAUGAGCCGAUGUCGGAUUAGCUAGUUGGCGGGGUAAAGGCCCACCAAGGCGACGAUCCGUAGCUGGUCUGAGAGGAUGAUCAGCCACACUGGAACUGAGACACGGUCCAGGGUCCUACGGGAGGCAGCAGUGGGGAAUAUUGGACAAUGGGCGCAAGCCUGAUCCAGCCAUACCGCGUGGGUGAAGAAGGCCUUCGGGUUGUAAAGCCCUUUUGUUGGGAAAGAAAAGCAGCAGGUUAAUACCCCGCUGUUCUGACGGUACCCAAAGAAUAAGCACCGGCUAACUUCGUG